rnacentral:rRNA from 1 species
UACGGAGGGUGCAAGCGUUGUUCGGAAUUACUGGGCGUAAAGCGCGUGUAGGCGGCUUGGUAAGUCGGUUGUGAAAGCCCAGGGCUUAACCCUGGAAAUGCGACCGAAACUGCCUCGCUAGAGUCUCGGAGAGGAAGGCAGAAUUCCCAGUGUAGGGGUGAAAUCCGUAGAUACUGGGAGGAAUACCGGUAGCGAAGGCGGCCUUCUGGACGAUGACUGACGCUCAGACGCGAAAGCGUGGGGAGCAAACAGG